rnacentral:tRNA from 1 species
UGGAGGGUGGCGAAGGCGUCGCGUACGGCUUCGGGGGCCGGUUCAGCGGGGAGUGCGGGCUCCUCCGUGGGCUCGGACGCCGCCUGUUCGGCC